CUUGUGCUAACGUGACUCAUGUCCCAUGCCUUCUGUCGUUAGAAGCUCAUUUGCAGUGGAAUCAGUGUCUUGAGUCCCAGAUGCCUGCCUUUUCCCAGAGGGCUCCAUAAGACCGUGCACGUACAGUGUUGUCCUUUUUUCUUUUCCAGACGAGGUCUCAUCAGACCUUGAAUUCACUAUGGAGUUCAGGAUGACCCGCGGCUUCAAAUCUUCCUCCCUCUAUCUCCCAAAUCCCAAAUGCCGCCAUUGCAGUGCACACAAGUACAUAGUCCAGACAGAUGGGAGAUCUCAUAGACAAGGUGCCAGCCAGCCACUGAGGAUAGCCAAGCACAGACAAUUCCUAACCCACAACAAUUAUACCUUGGUUACCCACUCUGGAUU
rnacentral:lncRNA from 1 species